rnacentral:rRNA from 1 species
AUUGAAGAGUUUGAUCAUGGCUCAGAUUGAACGCUGGCGGCAGGCCUAACACAUGCAAGUCGAGCGGUAGCACAGAGCA